rnacentral:rRNA from 1 species
GAUGAACGCUGGCGGCGUGCCUAAUACAUGCAAGUCGAGCGAACGGACGAGAAGCUUGCUUCUCUGAUGUUAGCGGCGGACGGGUGAGUAACACGUGGAUAACCUACCUAUAAGACUGGGAUAACUUCGGGAAACCGGAGCUAAUACCGGAUAAUAUUUUGAACCGCAUGGUUCAAAAGUGAAAGACGGUCUUGCUGUCACUUAUAGAUGGAUCCGCGCUGCAUUAGCUAGUUGGUAAGGUAACGGCUUACCAAGGCAACGAUGCAUAGCCGACCUGAGAGGGUGAUCGGCCACACUGGAACUGAGACACGGUCCAGACUCCUACGGGAGGCAGCAGUAGGGAAUCUUCCGCAAUGGGCGAAAGCCUGACGGAGCAACGCCGCGUGAGUGAUGAAGGUCUUCGGAUCGUAAAACUCUGUUAUUAGGGAAGAACAUAUGUGUAAGUAACUGUGCACAUCUUGACGGUACCUAAUCAGAAAGCCACGGCUAACUACGUGCCAGCAGCCGCGGUAAUACGUAGGUGGCAAGCGUUAUCUGGAAUUAUUGGGCGUAAAGCGCGCGUAGGCGGUUUUUUAAGUCUGAUGUGAAAGCCCACGGCUCAACCGUGGAGGGUCAUUGGAAACUGGAAAACUUGAGUGCAGAAGAGGAAAGUGGAAUUCCAUGUGUAGCGGUGAAAUGCGCAGAGAUAUGGAGGAACACCAGUGGCGAAGGCGACUUUCUGGUCUGUAACUGACGCUGAUGUGCGAAAGCGUGGGGAUCAAACAGGAUUAGAUACCCUGGUAGUCCACGCCGUAAACGAUGAGUGCUAAGUGUUAGGGGGUUUCCGCCCCUUAGUGCUGCAGCUAACGCAUUAAGCACUCCGCCUGGGGAGUACGACCGCAAGGUUGAAACUCAAAGGAAUUGACGGGGACCCGCACAAGCGGUGGAGCAUGUGGUUUAAUUCGAAGCAACGCGAAGAACCUUACCAAAUCUUGACAUCCUUUGACAACUCUAGAGAUAGAGCUUUCCCCUUCGGGGGACAAAGUGACAGGUGGUGCAUGGUUGUCGUCAGCUCGUGUCGUGAGAUGUUGGGUUAAGUCCCGCAACGAGCGCAACCCUUAAGCUUAGUUGCCAUCAUUAAGUUGGGCACUCUAAGUUGACUGCCGGUGACAAACCGGAGGAAGGUGGGGAUGACGUCAAAUCAUCAUGCCCCUUAUGAUUUGGGCUACACACGUGCUACAAUGGACAAUACAAAGGGCAGCGAAACCGCGAGGUCAAGCAAAUCCCAUAAAGUUGUUCUCAGUUCGGAUUGUAGUCUGCAACUCGACUACAUGAAGCUGGAAUCGCUAGUAAUCGUAGAUCAGCAUGCUACGGUGAAUACGUUCCCGGGUCU